GUCGGUGUCGCAGAAAAUGUCGUGUGUAUUGGCCGCUCUCAAGUUUCUCUGCGAUCCUUAACUCGUUAUUGGAGUUAACGAUAACGAAAGUGUCGUUAACUCCAAUAACGAGUUAAAGAAUCGCGCCGCUGGUAUCAUGCAUUUUUCAAAGUCUUUUGUUCGCUUCCGUGGCGUGGUUGGAUGUGGUUCCUGUAACUGCGCAUAUUUUUUUUAUUGUGGGGACCGCAUUACAUUUGGUCUACGGGUUGGCGUUAGCCUGGGGUUUUCCAGCGCACAGCCAUUUAUUAAAUGAAUGAAUGAGUGCAUUUUUCAUAGAGCCACUUAUACAAUCUGCUACUUUCCUGCCAUACCACGUUGCUCUCCACCCGAAAAACCGCCGAGGAAAAUAGCUCAUCGUCUCAGGUUUGAUUGCACCGGAAGACCAGUUUUCAAACACGACGAAAUCAGUGAUUCCUCCAAGGCUUCUUUCAUAACGUCGAUGUUCUUCUUGGGUAUCUCUCCAGUUUCGAAAAAUUUCAGUCGGUCUUCCACCUGCUGUCUCAAUUUCUCAC